CCUACGGGAGGCAGCAGUGGGGAAUAUUGGACAAUGGGGGGAACCCUGAUCCAGCGACGCCGCGUGAGUGAAGAAGUAUUUCGGUAUGUAAAGCUCUAUCAGCGGGGAAGAAAGACAUGACGGUACCUGACUACGAAGCCCCGGCUAACUACGUGCCAGCAGCCGCGGUAAUACGUAGGGGGCAAGCGUUAUCCGGAUUUACUGGGUGUAAAGGGAGCGUAGACGGCGAUGCAAGUCUGAAGUGAAAGGCGGGGGCCCAACCCCCGGACUGCUUUGGAAACUGUAUGGCUGGAGUGCAGGAGAGGUAAGUGGAAUUCCUAGUGUAGCGGUGAAAUGCGUAGAUAUUAGGAGGAACACCAGUGGCGAAGGCGGCUUACUGGACUGUAACUGACGUUGAGGCUCGAAAGCGUGGGGAGCAAACAGGAUUAGAUACCCGGGUAGUC
rnacentral:rRNA from 1 species